rnacentral:rRNA from 1 species
AUGAACGCUAGCGACGGGCCUAACACAUGCAAGUCGAGGGGCAGCACAAGGAGCAAUCUGAGGUGGCGACCGGCGCACGGGUGAGUAACACGUAUGCAACCUGCCUGUAAGCGGGGAAUAACCCGUUGAAAGACGGACUAAUACCGCAUAAUACUAAAUUACUGCAUGGUAAUUUAUUUAAACAUUUAUGGCUUACAGAUGGGCAUGCGCAUGAUUAGCUAGUUGGAGAGGUAACGGCUCCCCAAGGCAACGAUCAUUAGGGGUUCUGAGAGGAAGGUCCCCCACACUGGUACUGAGACACGGACCAGACUCCUACGGGAGGCAGCAGUGAGGAAUAUUGGUCAAUGGACGAGAGUCUGAACCAGCCAAGUCGCGUGCAGGAAGAAUGUUCCCUAUGGAUUGUAAACUGCUUUUGCAGGGGAAUAAAGUGCAUCACGUGUGAUGUUUUGUAUGUACUCUGCGAAUAAGGAUCGGCUAACUCCGUGCCAGCCGCUGC